UCCCGGGUGGUGUAUCCGGCAACACGGCGGAUUUUGGUUCCGCAGAGCCAGGUUCGAGUCCUGGCCCGGGAG
rnacentral:tRNA from 1 species